CGCUGGCGGCAGGCCUAACACAUGCAAGUCGAGCGGAUGACGGGAGCUUGCUCCCUGAUUCAGCGGCGGACGGGUGAGUAAUGCCUAGGAAUCUGCCUGGUAGUGGGGGACAACGUCUCGAAAGGGACGCUAAUACCGCAUACGUCCUACGGGAGAAAGUGGGGGAUCUUCGGACCUCACGCUAUCAGAUGAGCCUAGGUCGGAUUAGCUAGUUGGUGAGGUAAUGGCUCACCAAGGCGACGAUCCGUAACUGGUCUGAGAGGAUGAUCAGUCACACUGGAACUGAGACACGGUCCAGACUCCUACGGGAAGCAGCAGUGGGGAAUAUUGGACAAUGGGCGAAAGCCUGAUCCAGCCAUGCCGCGUGUGUGAAGAAGGUCUUCGGAUUGUAAAGCACUUUAAGUUGGGAGGAAGGGCAUUAACCUAAUACGUUGGUGUUUUGACGUUACCGACAGAAUAAGCACCGGCU
rnacentral:rRNA from 1 species